CCUACGGGAGGCAGCAGUGAGGAAUAUUGGUCAAUGGGCUUACGCCUGAACCAGCCAAGUCGCGUGAGGGAAGACUGCCCUAUGGGUUGUAAACCUCUUUUGUCAGGGAGCAAUUGGCGCUACGUGUAGCGUUAUCGAGAGUACCUGAAGAAAAAGCAUCGGCUAACUCCGUGCCAGCAGCCGCGGUAAUACGGGGGAUGCGAGCGUUAUCCGGAUUGAUUGGGUUUAAAGGGUGCGUAGGCGGAAUGCCAAGUCAGCGGUAAAAUCGCGGGGCUCAACCUCGCUCCGCCGUUGAAACUGGCGUUCUUGAGUGGGCGAGAAGUAUGCGGAAUGCGUGGUGUAGCGGUGAAAUGCAUAGAUAUCACGCAGAACUCCGAUUGCGAAGGCAGCAUACCGGCGCCCAACUGACGCUGAAGCACGAAAGCGUGGGUAUCGAACAGGAUUAGAUACCCUUGUAGUC
rnacentral:rRNA from 1 species